rnacentral:rRNA from 1 species
GACAGAGGGUGCAAACGUUGUUCGGAAUUACUGGGCGUAAAGCGCGUGUAGGCUGCUCUGUGUGUCGGAUGUGAAAGCCCCGGGCUCAACCUGGGAAUUGCAUUUGAGACUGCAUAGCUAGGAUGCGGAAGAGGUAAGUGGAACUGCGAGUGUAGAGGUGAAAUUCGUAGAUAUUCGCAAGAACACCAGUGGCGAAGGCGGCUUACUGGUCCGGUUCUGACGCUGAGGCGCGAAAGCGUGGGGAGCAAACAGG